rnacentral:rRNA from 1 species
AAUCUUCCACAAUGGACGAAAGCCUGAUGGAGCAACGCCGCGUGAGUGAAGAAGGUUUUCGGAUCGUAAAUAUCUGUUUUUGGAGAAGAACGGGUUUGAUAGUAGCUGAUCAGUUUGUGAAGGUAGCAAACCAGCAUACUACGGCACACUACGUGUCAGCAGCCGCGGUAAUACUUAGGUGGGAAGCGUUGGACGGAUUUAUUGGGCGUAAAGCGAGCGCAGGCGGUUUAUUAAGUCUGAUGUGAAAGCCUUCGGCUCAACCGAAGAAGUGCAUCGGAACAUGGGAAACUUGAGUGAAGAAGAGGACAGUGGAACUACAUGGGUAGCGGUGAAAUGCGUAGAUAUAUGGAAGAACACCAGUGGCGAAGGCGGCUGUCUGGUCUGUAACUGACGCUGAGGCUCGAAAGCAUGGGUAGCAAACA